UACCGUCCGACCUUGCAGUCAUGAAGAUCUUUUCCUUUCUCUCGGCAUUUCUCUUCUUAAUGCUGCUGGCUGCUCCAGCAUUUGCUGCUCGAAAGAUAACGACUCCGGCUCAGUGUGACAAGGCAGGUGGAAUAUGCAGGUUUAUGAACUGCCCAAAAGAUUAUCAGAUAAUCGGAGGAUGUGGCAAUAAAAUGGGUCGUUGCUGCAAAAAGCCUUAAAGAUGAUGCUCGAGUGUUGGCUACCCACAGUGGCUCUCCGAGGUCCAUUGAUGAGAGGGGCAUUCAAGGACCCAGCUCUGGCUUUGCCAGAAACCCUCUUCCUGAAAUAUAACC